UACAGAGGGGGCAAGCGUUGUUCGGAAUUACUGGGCGUAAAGGGCGCGUAGGCGGCCUGCUAAGUCGAACGUGAAAUCCCUCGGCUUAACCGAGGAACUGCCUGCCAGACUGCAAGGCUCGAGACCGGGAGAGGUGAGUGGAAUUCCAGGUGUAGCGGUGAAAUGCGUAGAUAUCUGGAGGAACACCGGUGGCGAAGGCGGCGUUCUGGACUGUUUCUGACACUGAAAAACGAAAGCCAGGGGAGCAAACGGG
rnacentral:rRNA from 1 species